UUGAGCCAGAGAGAAAGGAA
rnacentral:piRNA from 1 species